rnacentral:rRNA from 1 species
CCUACGGGUGGCAGCAGUGAGGAAUAUUGGUCAAUGGGCGCGAGCCUGAACCAGCCAAGUAGCGUGAAGGAUGACUGCCCUACGGGUUGUAAACUUCUUUUAUAAAGGAAUAAAGUGAGGCUCGUGUGCCUUUUUGUAUGUAUUUUAUGAAUAAGGAUCGGCUAACUCCGUGCCAGGAGCCGCGGUAAUACGGAGGUACCGGGCGUUAUCCGGAUUUAUUGGGUUUAAAGGGAGCGUAAAUGGGUUGUUAAGUCAGUUGUGAAAGUUUGCGGCUUAAACGUCAACGUGCAAGUGAGACUGGCAGCCUUGAGUACAGGUGAGGUAGGCGGAAUUCGUGGUGUAGCGGUGAAAUGCUUAGAUAUCACGAAGAACUCCGAUUGCGAAGGCAGCCUACUAAACUGCGACUGACAUUGAUGCUCGAAAGUGUGGGUAUCAAACAGGAUUAGAUACCCGAGUAGUC